rnacentral:rRNA from 1 species
GAGAGAUCCAUGGCUGCAUGCACUAGAGUCUUGGAUGGAAAUAACAAAUUUGGGGUUGCUAUUGGGAGUUUGCAUGGUGAUUUACAUUUUGAGGAGGAGCGCAUAGUGAUUGGUGAUCCUUUGACCAAAACCGCUUCAUGUAGUUGUGGAAUGUUCAAUAGGACAGGAAUAUUGUGUGGACAUGGUCUCAAAGUUCUUGACUUGAUGAAUAUAAAGACAUUACCAACACAUUAUGUAUUAAAGAGAUGGACUAGAGAAGCACGCAAUGGAAGCAUACAAGAUAGACAAGGAAGGAAUGUGGUAGAGAAUCCA